rnacentral:rRNA from 1 species
AAAGAAACUAACCAGAUUCCCCUAGUAACUGCGAGUGAAGGGAAAAGCUCAAAAAAAUCUGGGUCGCUGUCCGAGUUGUAAUUUAGAGAAGUGUUGCCCGCGCUGGACCGUGUACAAGUCUCCUGGAAUGGAGCGUCAUAGAGGGUGAGAAUCCCGUCUUUGACACGGACUCCCAGUGCAUUGUGGUACGCUCUCAAAGAGUCGUGUUGUUUGGGAAUGCAGCACUAAAUGGGUGGUAAAUUCCAUCUAAAGCUAAAUAUUGGCGAGAGACCGAUAGCAAACAAGUACCGUGAGGGAAAGAUGAAAAGAACUUUGGAAAGAGAGUUAAACAGUACGUGAAAUUGUUGAAAGGGAAACGCUUAAAGUCCAGUCGCGUCGGUUGGGAAUCAGUCUCGCUCUCUUGCUUGACGUACUUCCCACGUGACGGGUCAGCAUCAGUUUUGAUCGUUGGAUAAAGGUUGGAGGAAUGUGGCACUUCGGGUGUGUUAUAGCCUCUGAUUGUAUACAACGGUUGGGACUGAGGAACUCAGCACGCCGAAAGGCCGGGUACUUGUACCCCGUACGUGCUUAGGAUGCUGGCAUAAUGGCUUUAAUCGACCCGUCUUGAAACACGGACCAAGGAGUCUAACAUGCCUGCGAGUAUUUGGGUGGAAAACCCGAGUGCGCAAUGAAAGUGAAAGUUGAGAACUCUUUAGAGUGCAUCGACGCCCGGACCAGACGUUCUCUGACGGAUCCGCGGUAGAGCAUGUA